rnacentral:tRNA from 1 species
GCGUUGGUAGCUCAGUCGGGUAAGCGCCCGCUUCUCACGCAAGAGAUGCGGGUUCAAAUCUCGGCACUGACAAGUACCAAUGC